AAUUGUUGGGUUCUCAUAUGUGCUUAAGGCCUUUAUCGUUUAACUCAUUCGGUAACUGAUGUUUGUCUUUAUUGAUAUGGGGACGUACAGUAAUGACAUGAACCGGUGAGUAAUUUCUUGAUUUUGCAAUACCACCUAGGGUAGGAUGAUCAAUUGCGUUAACUUCUGUUUAUAAUGCGGUAUUAAUUGCUAGGGGAGGCUAGGGAUAGNAAGCCAGUAGUUAAUAUUAGGCUCUUUUCGCCGAGGGAUCAGGUUAAGGGUAGGCUAAGAAAGUCGCAUAACAAUUAAUUAAUCAAACUAAUAAUCCAAGAGGAGUAGAUAAGAGAGAGAGGGUUAGAUGAAAUUAUAAACCCCCAACAACUCCAUUCAUCCAUUGUUUUCUUUUGUCAAUUGAAUUAAUCUACUUUUGCAUGUUAAUAUUUUUGUUCUCAAAUGAAUUUAUUAAUUUUUAUUUUCAAGUCUUAUUUUUUUAAAACACGUGAACGAGAAAGCCAUUCGAGUCUCUUGGGAAGAACGAUAUUGGGUUUUACCAAUUAUAUUACUUGAACGAUUUGGUACGCUUGCCAAUCCGUCAACACGUGUGCACAUGAUUAUGAUUUAUAUGUGGUUAUUAUUGGAUAAAGGUUUAUGUAUGC
rnacentral:lncRNA from 1 species